ensembl:lncRNA
GCAGCAAUGUUCCAACAUCUAGUGGAAAGCCUUCCCAGAAGAGUGGAGGCUGUUAUAGCAGCAAUGUUCCACCAUCUAGUGGAAAGCCUUCCCAGAAGAGUGGAGGCUGUUAUAGCAGCAAUGUUCCAACAUCUAGUGGAAAUCCUUCCCAGAAGAGUGGAGGCUGUUAUAGCAGCAAUGUUCCAACAUUCCACUCAGCUUAGAACGCCUAGCGGUCACUAACAGUUAUUGGAGUUAUUUGUGUAACCAUGUGUAUGUGACAAAUAAAAUUUGAUUUGAUUUGAUUUGAUUUAUUUUCAUAUGCUUUUAAUAUUAAAAGGCUAUAUUUUCAUAUGCUUUUAAAUAUAAAUCUACCAGUUUCAUAAGCCUCUUUAUCAAAAUAUGUGCUUAUAUGUCUAUUUACCGAUUCCCUUCUCCAUAGCGGCAGUAACCACGGACAGAUUGAGCUGUUUUAAACACAGGAUAUUUAAUACUGAAUAAAUACUUGUUUUAAUCCAUGUGUAAAUAUAUCUUUGCUGCAGAAGCUGAGCCAUCAAGCUCUGCCUUAUAACGUGUGGCAAAACUGUAGAGAGCAGCUAUCUUACAGUACUCUAUCUUUCUAUCUUACAGUACAAUAACGUACAAUACUAUAUCUUACAGUACUUUAUCUAACAGUACUCUAUCUUACAAUACUCUAUCUUACAGUACUCUAUCUUACAGUACUCUAUCUAACACUACUAUAUCUUACAGUACUCUAUCUUACAGUACUCUAUCUAACACUACUAUCUAUAUCUAACAGUACUCUAUCUAACACUACUACAUCUAACAGUACUCUAUCUAUCAAUACUCUAUCUUAAAGUACUCUAUCUUACAGUACUCUAUCUAACAGUACUCUAUCUUACAAUACUCUAUCUAACAGUACUCUAUCUAACACUACUAUAUCUAACAGUACUCUAUCUUACAGUACUCUAUCUAACAGUACUCUAUCUUACAAUACUCUAUCUAACAGUACUCUAUCUUACAAUACUCUAUCUAACAGAGUCUCUGUUUAUUUAGACAUUUGUUGAUCUUCCUAUGACUCAGUUAUGCACUGGCCCUGGUAUGGCCAAUAUGGCCACGUCAAUCCGCCAUUAACAACCAUGUCUUCCUCGUCAUGCGUCCUCCUCCAGACCUGAUGAACCAUAGAUCUACAGUAAGAAUGAUGUUGAUAGAAGUGUAACUUUC